rfam:Lingula anatina scaffold9, whole genome shotgun sequence.
UAAAUGGCCCUUUUCAGGGCCACCACACCCUUCUUAGAAAAGCUAU